rfam:Stereum hirsutum FP-91666 SS1 unplaced genomic scaffold STEHIscaffold_3, whole genome shotgun sequence.
GGACCUUUAGCUCAAUCGGUAGAGCUUUGUACUUAUGUGGUUUCCCUAACCUGUCUGAAUGCAAGGGUCCCGAGUUCGAUUCUCGGAAGGUCCA